UAAUAAUUUGGUCGUUGACUU
rnacentral:piRNA from 1 species